CGGCCGGAGCCCGCUGGAGCCCGCUGGAGCCCGCUGGAGCGCGCGGCCUGCUCCCGCUCUGCCCCGCUCGGAUCAUGCAGGGGGCCCCGGAGGAGGCGAGGGCGAGUGACCGGCCUGCGGCGGCCGCGUCCCGGGCGCGACCCCCUCUCUGAGACGCCCCCACCUGCUGCCAUGUGCCGCGCCCCGGAUACCCAGCCUGCCGCCAAACUUUUCGGGUGCCAGCCCGGCUCCGAGUCGCGUUUGUGAGCGAGUGUCCCGGGGACGGAGCGCCCAGGCUGGCCGCCGACCGCCUGCUUCUCCCGGGAGCCGCGGAGCUUCUGGAGUAACGAGUGCUCGCCCCGGCGUCGGAGCCCGCGCCGCCCCUCCCCACGCCGUCUGGCAGCGCCUUCCCGAAACAGUUGAUCUCGGACGGAUUUGAGA